rnacentral:ribozyme from 1 species
GAGAGAGAGAGAGAGAGAGAAAGAAAGAAAGAAAGAAAAGACAAUGUACAUUUCCUUUCCACUGUUUAUUCAUAUUUUAUUAUACACACUUGUUACAUUAUAUAUUUAUACUAAUACUUCAUAUUAUUAAUAGAAAAA